rnacentral:rRNA from 1 species
GAUGAACGCUGGCGGCGUGCCUAAUACAUGCAAGUCGAGCGAACGGACGAGAAGCUUGCUUCUCUGAUGUUAGCGGCGGACGGGUGAGUAACACGUGGAUAACCUACCUAUAAGACUGGGAUAACUUCGGGAAACCGGAGCUAAUACCGGAUGAUAUUUUGAACCGCAUGGUUCAAAAGUGAAAGACGGUCUUGCUGUCACUUAUAGAUUGAUCCGCGCUGCAUUAGCUAGUUGGUAAGGUAACGGCUUACCAAGGCAACGAUGCAUAGCCGACCUGAGAGGGUGAUCGGCCACACCGGAACUGAGACACGGUCCAGACUCCUACGGGAGGCAGCAGUAGGGAAUCUUCCGCAAUGGGCGAAAGCCUGACGGAGCAACGCCGCGUGAGUGAUGAAGGUCUUCGGAUCGUAAAACUCUGUUAUUAGGGAAGAACAUAUGUGUAAGUAACUGUGCACAUCUUGACGGUACCUAAUCAGAAAGCCACGGCUAACUACGUG